rnacentral:misc_RNA from 1 species
AACAGCCUUCAGUCUUCCUCCUCUUCAAACCUCACAUGCUUCCCCUCAGGCACAGGCAGCCCCUUCAACACCAGAGCACCCUCUGGCACCACCUUCCCAACUUCUUCCUCACCUUCAAUCUCGCCCUCGCUGUUGUAGAUGAACCGAGUGUGUUUCCCCACAAACUCAGGCAGCCUCGCCUUCUCCUGCACCGACAUGUUCGUCAGAAUGUCGCAAAGAUCAUCAUAGCACUCCCCAUCCUCUUCUUGGUACUCAUCUUCGCCAUCUUCG